GGGAGGAAAACGGGGCUGUGCUGCAUCUGCAGCAUUUCUGAGCCAGCAUUUGGGGAAAUGCCACGACGGGGAGCCCAAACCUUCACCUUCCCCUGAGCAUCCCCCUGCGGACCUUCCCUGGGGAAGGACGCUCACGUCGCAAGGCACAGCAGGAGGGGAAUUGGGCAAAGAUUAAAGAGUGAGGAAUAACUCCGGAGCGCAGGGGAGGGUAGAGAGGAGCAGAGAGGAGCAGCAGGCAGCGCUUGGAGCGGCUUUCUCCGGCUGACGCCACCGAGCCCUGCGGAGCCAGCCGGGCACAUGUUGCCAAGAGAGCACCAGCACCAGCGCAGCCGAGCCCUGCUGCCCUCGGAAAGCAGAACGAAGCAGCUCCUGGCCGCGGCCGAGCCUGUGCCCACAUUCCUGCCCCCUCGCUGCCGGGCACGGCCACCUCUGUAACCUUUCUCCUUAAAAGUCAUUCCCCGGGGCUCCUCCGCUGCUCCGGGCGCGACUCGAGUUACGCGGAGCUGCCUUCGGGGGAAAGAGCUGACCUUCAGGGACGGGUAGCGGGGGGGGGAGAAAAAAUUAAAAAAGAGCACAUGAUGCAGGGAAAUGGGUGCGAAGAAAUAGGAGAAAGGGAAGGACAAGUGGCGCUCGCAUCUGCUGUCCUGCUGGUGACAAAACAACUCGGAGCGGAGCAGCCAUCACCAGGGGGUGUACGCGGCGCACCGGCUGCGAGGAUGGAAAAGCAAACAAGUGGAAAGGACGAUGAAAACGAAAGAAGCCCUCCCGUGUGCACCAUACCGAUGAAUGAAGCCACAGGUUCCCAGCUCCAACCAGCAAAGAUUUAAGAGACAAAAAAAGCUUACAAGCAAUUUUUUUCUCCCCUCCUACACAACAUUUCUGAUGGCCUGAAAGGUACCUGCCAUUUCCUGAAGUCAGCUCAGACCUCCUGCGCAGCGUGUGAGAAACAAGGGAUAAACAAGGGGAUAAAAUCCUGUCCCACAUCUGAAACCCAACUUCACAACAACUAUGCACUAAAUGACACAUGAUAACGGGGAAGGAGAUGCCAGCUCCCCUAAUGAAUGGUGGUGAGCAAGGCUGGAAAAAUAAAUUAUAUAAUAAUCUCUUAUUAUACCCCUUUGACAUAAAUUCAUCUUGACCUGGACCAACGGUGCUGCUUUCCAAGGGAAAAUAAUCAGGGUGAAGCUUUAAUCAUGAGUCAGGAGGCCAGUGCAGGGUGGUUUGUUAGAAUUUUGCUUCAGCUGGUAAAUUUUGUGGAAAAUUUGGGGAUGGGGUGAGCAACUUUCACACAGAAAUUCCAGUUCCUGCCUCUUAGUGGUGGCUGGGAAGGAGCUGCUGAACCUCAGCUUCAGGAAUCGGCUUUUGGAAGCCCCAAGGAGAUGUUCAAGGCUCUGCAAGAGCAGGAAGGCCCUGUUGUUUCACCACAGAACUGUCCAAAACAUAUCCAGGUUCUUCCCUUUGGGCUGGUGGGAACUUUCCUCCAAUGAAUUGGGAAUGACUGGAGGCUCAGGUCUGUGUUCCUGCUGGGAAUGCACGUGCUGUUACUUUGGUUGGGUUUCUGGAGGUCUUGUUUGCUUCUUUCUUGCUCAGCCCUACAAUGGGGAUGGAAAACAAUCCCUGGGAAAUCCUCAGUGAGAGAGAGCAGAUCUGGGAGGA